UACGUAGGGGACAAGCGUUGUCCGGAAUUAUUGGGCGUAAAGCGCGUGUAGGCGGCCAAGUAAGUCUUACGUGAAAUUCUGAGGCUCAACCUCAGGCCUGCGCGGGAUACUGCUUGGCUAGAGUCCGGAAGAGGAGAGUGGAAUUCCUGGUGUAGCGGUGGAAUGCGCAGAUAUCAGGAGGAACAUCCGUGGCGAAGGCGGCUCUCUGGGACGGUACUGACGCUGAGACGCGAAAGCGUGGGGAGCGAACAGG
rnacentral:rRNA from 1 species